CUAGCUCUCAUCUUCCCCUUCAAGUGUCUCGCAGAAGUGUCCCGGAGUCCACCUUCCCUCUGCUGCUGCACGCCAAGUCCGUCUCCUCCUCCUGCAAGGCCGGCGCCCCGCCACCCUCACAAGAUCCACGUGGACAGGUGAAGUGAGGUACACCACCCUACCCUCUGCCAUCAUUUGAAAUGCCCUAACAGCCAUUAGCCUUCAGGAAGCUUAUGGAGAAACCACAAGACAUACCUUCAGUUGGGACACUGUGAAGAUUCUGGACCGUUCCACCUGUACACAAGUUUGGAAAACCAUAGGAGCUCCCUAGCUAGACUCGGUAAACCUUCACGUGGGCUUUAGCUCGUAAACAUUGUCUAUCAGCGAUAAGGAGCGUGCGUAGCAGGAUCUAGGUCAGGGUGGAGGCGAAAUCAAGGCAUCUUGGAACUGAAGGACAAAAGGUCAAGGCUUUCCUUGACUGCGAGGGGACGUGCUAGCACCAUCAUUCCCCACAUCCUUCCCUGACACAUCGGGAAUUGGAGUGUUCCCUUACCUCCACCAGAGCCUGAAGGAGACGCUGCGUGAGGGGGCCAAAGGGGCAGCCAUCCUCGGGUGGGUCAUGUUGGGACUCUGACUUCUUUAACAGGGCGUCCACAUCUGGGAAAAAAAGACACACAUUACGGAAUCGUAUUUUUC